rnacentral:piRNA from 1 species
UAUUCAUGUGCAUGUCAUAGAAGAU